rnacentral:misc_RNA from 1 species
GAUGAAGAACGUAGCGAAAUGCGAUAAGUAAUGUGAAUUGCAGAAUUCAGUGAAUCAUCGAAUCUUUGAACGCACAUUGCGCCCGCCAGUAUUCUGGCGGGCAUGCCUGUUCGAGCGUCAUUACAACCCUCAGGCCCCCGGGCCUGGCGUUGGGGAUCGGCGGAAGCCCCCUGCGGGCACAACGCCGUCCCCCAAAUACAGUGGCGGUCCCGCCGCAGCUUCCAUUGCGUAGUAGCUAACACCUCGCAACUGGAGAGCGGCGCGGCCACGCCGUAAAACACCCAACUUCUGAAUGUUGACCUCGAAUCAGGUAGGAAUACCCGCUGAACUUAAGCAUAUCAAUAAGGCGGAGGA